GUUAGCGGCGGACGGGUGGGUAACACGUGGAUAACCUACCUAUAAGACUGGGAUAACUUCGGGAAACCGGAGCUAAUACCGGAUAAUAUUUUGAACCGCAUGGUUCAAAAGUGAAAGACGGUCUUGCUGUCACUUAUAGAUGGAUCCGCGCUGCAUUAGCUAGUUGGUAAGGUAACGGCUUACCAAGGCAACGAUGCAUAGCCGACCUGAGAGGGUGAUCGGCCACACUGGAACUGAGACACGGUCCAGACUCCUACGGGAGGCAGCAGUAGGGAAUCUUCCGCAAUGGGCGAAAGCCUGACGGAGCAACGCCGCGUGAGUGAUGAAGGUCUUCGGAUCGUAAAACUCUGUUAUUAGGGAAGAACAUAUGUGUAAGUAACUGUGCACAUCUUGACGGUACCUAAUCAGAAAGCCACGGCUAACUACGUGCCAGCAGCCGCGGUAAUACGUAGGUGGCAAGCGUUAUCCGGAAUUAUUGGGCGUAAAGCGCGCGUAGGCGGUUUUUUAAGUCUGAUGUGAAGGCCCACGGCUCAACCGUGGAGGGUCAUUGGAAACCGGAAAACUUGAGUGCAGAAGAGGAAAGUGGAAUUCCAUGUGUAGCGGUGAAAUGCGCAGAGAUAUGGAGGAACACCAGUGGCGAAGGCGACUUUCUGGUCUGUAACUGACGCUGAUGUGCGAAAGCGUGGGGAUCAAACAGGAUUAGAUACCCUGGUAGUCCACGCCGUAAACGAUGAGUGCUAAGUGUUAGGGGGUUU
rnacentral:rRNA from 1 species